GGGAGCAGCAGUGGGAAUAUUGGACAAUGGGGGCAACCCUGAUCCCAGCCAUGCCGCGUGUGUGAAGAAGCCUUUAGGGUUGUAAAGCACUUUCAGCGAGGAAGAACGCCUGGCGGGUAAUACCCGCCAGGAAAGACAUCACUCGCAGAAGAAGCACCGGCUAACUCCGUGCCAGCAGCCGCGGUAAUACGGAGGGUGCAAGCGUUAAUCGGAAUUACUGGGCGUAAAGCGCGCGUAGGUGGCUUGAUAAGCCGGUUGUGAAAGCCCCGGGCUCAACCUGGGAACGGCAUCCGGAACUGUCAGGCUAGAGUGCAGGAGAGGAAGGUAGAAUUCCCGGUGUAGCGGUGAAAUGCGUAGAGAUCGGGAGGAAUACCAGUGGCGAAGGCGGCCUUCUGGACUGACACUGACACUGAGGUGCGAAAGCGUGGGUAGCAAACAGGAUUAGAUACCCUGGUAGUCCACGCCGUAAACGAUGUCGACCAGCCGUUGGGUGCCUAGCGCACUUUGUGGCGAAGUUAACGCGAUAAGUCGACCGCCUGGGGAGUACGGCCGCAAGGUUAAAACUCAAAUGAAUUGACGGGGGCCCGCACAAGCGGUGGAGCAUGUGGUUUAAUUCGAUGCAACGCGAAGAACCUUACCUACCCUUGACAUCCUGCGAAUUCGUGAGAGAUCACUUAGUGCCUUCGGGAACGCAGAGACAGGUGCUGCAUGGCUGUCGUCAGCUCGUGUUGUGAAAUGUUGGGUUAAGUCCCGUAACGAGCGCAACCCUUGUCCUUAUUUGCCAGCACGUAAUGGUGGGAACUCUAAGGAGACUGCCGGUGACAAACCGGAGGAAGGUGGGGACGACGUCAAGUCAUCAUGGCCCUUACGGGUAGGGCUACACACGUGCUACAAUGGCCGGUACAAAGGGUUGCCAACUCGCGAGAGUGAGCCAAUCCCGAAAAGCCGGUCUCAGUCCGGAUCGGAGUCUGCAACUCGACUCCGUGAAGUCGGAAUCGCUAGUAAUCGUGGAUCAGAAUGCCACGGUGAAUACGUUCCCGGGCCUUGUACACACCGCCCGUC
rnacentral:rRNA from 1 species